rnacentral:rRNA from 1 species
UACGGGGGGGGCAAGCGUUGUUCGGAAUUACUGGGCGUAAAGGGCUCGUAGGCGGCCAACUAAGUCAGACGUGAAAUCCCUCGGCUUAACCGGGGAACUGCGUCUGAUACUGGAUGGCUUGAGUGUGGGAGAGGGAUGCGGAAUUCCAGGUGUAGCGGUGAAAUGCGUAGAUAUCGUAAGGAAGACCAGUGGCGAAGGCGGGUCUCUGGACAGUUCCUGACGCUGAGGCACGAAGGCCAGGGGAGCAAACGGG